GCCAGCGACGAUAGCACAUUCAAUGCACCAGUUCCUCCUGGAUCACCUAAGUUAAGCAACGUUGUUCGUGGUUGGUAUUCGAAUGGGUGACAAUCGCGUGCUGUUGGCU
rnacentral:rRNA from 1 species